ensembl:lncRNA
CAUAUAUAUAUAUUUUUUUUUUAAUCCAUAUAUUCAUCCAUCUAUAUAUGCAAAUAUUUAAAAAUGUAAAUAAUAUCAGCAUCCGCAUCAAUACAAAUGACUGAAAUCUGAUUGGAUUAUUCUGCUCUAUUAUAAUGAACAAAGAUUUUUUAAAAUAUCUGUCACAUUUCUGAUGUUCAACUCUAACCUCAACAUUAAAAAUAGCAUCCAUCUAAAAAAAAAAAAUAUGCUGAAAUGAGAUUUAAUGACACCUUUGUAGCUGAAGUCAUUAAUACGAACUGUGUGCUGCGUGAGAAUCAUUUCAUCAUGUAUUUAACUCUUUAUGACAAGAAAGGGUUAUCAUUACAACUUCCAGGACUCUUAACGAGGAGGACCAUCUAUUCGUCUUGUUUGUAAUAAAAGACAAAUAAAAGCUCAACACAGAUGCAAACAUAUAGGAACAAAUUUUAUUCCAAUUUAAAAUGGAUAUUUUUUUUUCUUUAAAGGAGAAGGCUAUGAAAGUCAUUUUCAUGUAUGAAUGAGGUUCAGGCAAAAGUGGUUGAAAUGAAACAUACAAAAAGAGAAAUAUGUCUAAAAUACUGUAAAUGAACAAUAAUUAAGCCCCUUGUCAGCAGGGUUUCGCGUUAAUACGGUUUUUCCUUUACCCGACCCUCUCCGGCGAAAACAAACACAUGCAAUUAAAAUGUCAUUUCUUUUAAAAACAGCAGUUUGUCAUCUUUAAUCUUAAAUACAGAAUAAAACUGUCCUUUUCCUGUUGCGCGUUUACCAUAAUCACAUACUUAAUGUUUAUUUGUUUUUAAAAACCGGACCAUAAAACACACAAGUCCUUUUUUAAAUGAUUUCCACAACAUUGGCACUUGUAAAGAGUCUGGCUCUACAAAUCAAAGGGAUUGGCACACUCAAUAUAGUACAUCAUUUACAUUUGGUAUGCUUUAAAAAAAAGAAGAAGAAGAAAAAAAAAGAGCAACCAACCGAACAAGAAAUACAUUACAAAGUAAUACAAUACUUUGAUUUUAUACACCACUACACAAAUGUUUAUUUUAGCUGUUUUAUCAAAAACAAAUGUAUUAUAUUAAAGUGUCCUACAUACAAGUGUUCAGGUAAUGCAUCAACAUCAGAAAAAAAAAUAAAGAAAGAUAGCUUCAUAUUGUACGCAUCCAUCACAUCAGCGUGGACCCCAAGCGAAAGCGUCAUUUCUAUUCAUUAGUGUCUGCAUCUCUCAAGAGUACCAGGAACAAGUUUGGAGGAACAGAUAAGUCACAUGAGUGGAGUUCGUUCCAUUACUGCAGAGUAGGUUCAGUGCUUUAACCCAGGGAGGAAAAACAUAUCAAUCUUAUUCACAAAAAAAAAAAAAAAAAACCUUAAACACCAGCUAAACAGGAUAUCAAAGCUACUUAUACCAUCUGCACAACAUAUUCUGAUGUUUUGUGGACUUAACUGGUACGAAAUGACUAGCUGUAGUGUUUCUGUUUCUGAUAAAGAACCGUGUUUCUCAGAUUAGGCCUAGCCCUUCGAAAUGAAAGCCGUAUGUACAAAAGCUUUAAAUGUUCACAUGUUCAAAAAUGUUGUCGUAAAUUUGCAGGUCCACUACUUGUACAACAACGAAACAGUUUGAAAUUGGCAUAUGAUGACUGAUAGUUCCAUCCCACCCAAGUGAAGAGUUUAAAAUGUAUGAAGUGUGAAGCCCCGCCCAGAAGAAUGACGGUAUGCAAAUCUGGAAGUUUGAAAAACUAUAAACAAAAAAAAAAAAAAAAGCAGCUAAACUGGCCUGGCACUGGAGGACUGUUUAGUUAAAGAAAAAAAAAUAGAAAAAAUGCGCAAUUUGGCAAACAAUUCGUAAAAUGCACUAAAAGGUCCAAAUGUUUAUGUAAAGAAGGCUUAUAGGAAAAUUGCGUAUACACCUUCAAAACUACACUUCCAUAGUAAUUCAUCACAAAAAAAAAGAAUCCUCCUACAAUACAUUCAAUUACUAGUUAAAAAAAAUAAUAAUAAUAAUCGCGGCAAUAAGUGACUAUUGUGAUUCAAAUAUUUUGCUAAAUCAUUACGUUAGCUCUCGUGAUUUUUUUUUUUUUUUUUUUCACAAAUUCAGCUUUUCGCAAGUUAUGUUGUUUCAAUAAUAUACGAACAAAGCCAAUAAGACUGUAUGAGUGCUAAUGUGCGAUAAAUUCAUAGCCAGUCGGCUGAAAAAAAGGUGUACGAUAAAUGAGUAAACAGGACUCAAAAGCAACACCGUCACAGCCCCCGAAAACCAAACAUGGCAAAGGGAAACGUGUGACAUCACCGCCACCGAAUACUUCAUUCCUAAACUUACAAAAUCAAAACAGCCCAUUCGAAGUUGUUUGAUUUGCGGCAAGAAAUAGCAUACAUUCUCCGAAGAUCUCCGAAGGUGCUCCCUGGAUGCACUGCAAGCUGAACCUUUAAUCCUGGGGAUUCAGAUACCCACUUCGGCGUACCUAUUGCUCUAUCGUCUUCAUAGAGUCCUUUCAUUCUCUGCCCACAAUUAGCCCUUGUAAUGAAAAGUAUGAAAACUCACCUGAAUUACAUCAUAAAGACCCCCCCUCCCCCCAAAAAAGCCAGCUAGCUAUGGAAUCCAAAAAAGCUAAAUCAAGCGAGAACUAAGAUAUGGUACGACGAAACCGAGAGCGAACUCUCAAAAAACAACGCAAGCAGAGGCCAGUUAAGAAUCCAACCACCAAUAAAAUUCUUAAUUUCCUAUUUGCA